rnacentral:rRNA from 1 species
AUAACCACUGGAAACGGUGGCUAAUACCGCAUAACGUCGCAAGACCAAAGAGGGGGACCUUCGGGCCUCUCACUAUCGGAUGAACCCAGAUGGGAUUAGCUAGUAGGCGGGGUAAUGGCCCACCUAGGCGACGAUCCCUAGCUGGUCUGAGAGGAUGACCAGCCACACUGGAACUGAGACACGGUCCAGACUCCUACGGGAGGCGGCAGUGGGGAAUAUUGCGCAAUGGGCGCAAGCCUGA